GAUGAAGAACGUAGUGAAAUGCGAUAAGUAAUGUGAAUUGCAGAAUUCAGUGAAUCAUCGAAUCUUUGAACGCACAUUGCGCCCGUCAGUAUUCUGGCGGGCAUGCCUGUUCGAGCGUCAUUACGCCCCUCAAGUCCCCUGUGACUUGGUGUUGGGGAUCGGCGAGGCUGGUUUUCCAGCACAGCCGUCCCUUAAAUUAAUUGGCGGUCUCGCCGUGGCCCUCCUCUGCGCAGUAGUAAAACACUCGCAACAGGAGCCCGGCGCGGUCCACUGCCGUAAAACCCCCCAACUUUUUAUAGUUGACCUCGAAUCAGGUAGGACUACCCGCUGAACUUAAGCAUAUCAAUAAGCGGAGGA
rnacentral:misc_RNA from 1 species